GCGGAGGAAAAGAAACCAACAGGGAUUGCCUUAGUAACGGCGAGUGAAGCGGCAACAGCUCAAAUUUGAAAUCUGGCUCCUUCGGGGUCCGAGUUGUAAUUUGCAGAGGAUGCUUCGAGUUAUGGUUCCUUCCGAGUUCCCUGGAACGGGACGCCAUAGAGGGUGAGAGCCCCGUCUGGUAGGAAACCAUGCUCAUGUGAAGCUCCCUCGACGAGUCGAGUAGUUUGGGAAUGCUGCUCUAAGGGGAGGUAUACUCCUUCCAAGGCUAAAUACCGGCUAGAGACCGAUAGCGCACAAGUAGAGUGAUCGAAAGAUGAAAAGUACUUUGAAAAGAGAGUCAAACAGCACGUGAAAUUGUUAAAAGGGAAGCGCUCGCUACCAGACGUGGGUUCGGUGGUUCAACCAGGUCCAUGACCUGGGGCACUCCGCCGGCCCAGGCCAGCAUCAGCUUUCCGUCGGGGGCAAAGGCGUCGGGAAUGUGGCUCUCCUUCGGGGGAGUGUUAUAGCCCGUCGCGUCAUACUCUUCGGGGGGCUGAGGUACGCGCUCCGCAAGGAUGCUGGCGUAAUGGUAGCUAGUGACCCGUCUUGAAACACGGACCAAGGAGUCAACCUUAUGUGCGAGUGCCCGGGCGUAAAACCCCAGCGCGGAAUGAAAGUGAACGUAGGUGAGAGCUUCGGCGCAUCACCGACCGAUCCUGAUGUCCUCGGACGGAUUUGAGUGAGAGCAUAUAGGGUUGGACCCGAAAGAAGAUGAACUAUGCGUGUGUAGGGUGAAGCCAGAGGAAACUCUGGUGGAGGCUCGCAGCGGUUCUGACGUGCAAAUCGA
rnacentral:misc_RNA from 1 species